UAAAGGCUUGGUCCUGACCUUACUGUCGGCUCUAGUUAGAAUUACACAUGCAAGUAUCCGCGUACCCGUGAGGAUACCCAUGGUCGCCCACACGACGACAUGGAGUUGGUAUCAGGCCCAACCAAUGCUACUUGAAACCCUCUCGUAGUUAGCCCAAGACACCUUGUUUAGCCACACCCCCAAGGGUAUUCAGCAGUGAUAUACAUUAAGCCAUGAGCGAAAGCUUUACUCAGUUAAGACUAAGAGGGCGGGUUAAAAUUCGUGCCAGCCACCGCGGUUAUACGGACAGCCCAAGUUGACAGUCAGCGGCGUAAAGAGUGGUUAGGGAAAUAAAUAAACUAAAGCCGAAAGCCCUCAAGACUGCAAUACGCCAUCUCGAGGACAUGAAGACCGACUACGAAAGUGGCUUUACUACACCUGACCCCACGAAAGCUGAGGCACAAACUGGGAUUAGAGACCCCACUAUGCUCAGCCCUAAACAUCGAUUGAAUUUAACCAGUUCAUUCCGCCCGGGAAUUACGGACACUAGUCUAAAAACCAAAGGACUUGGCGGUGCUUCAAACCCACCUAGAGGAGCCUGUCCUAUAACCGAUAACCCCCGUUAAACCUCACCCUCCCUUGCUCUAUCUACCUAUAUACCGCCGCCGUCAGCUUACCCUGAGAAGGAAGAGUCGUAUGCAGAAUUGGUACCGCCCCAAACGUCAGGUCGAGGUGUAGUGAAUGGGAGGGGAAGAGAUGGGCUACAUUUGCUCUCCGCAAGCAAAUACGGAUAUUUUAUUGAAACAUGAAAUUGAAGGAGGAUUUAGUAGUAAGCAGGAAACAGAGUGUCCCGCUGAAAUCGGCCCUGAAGCGCGCACAUACCGCCCGUCACCCUCACCAAGCAUCUGAACAACUCUAUCUUAAGCCCCGUUCAAUACGCACAAGGGGAGGAAAGUCGUAACAUGGUAAGCGUACCGGAAGGUGCGCUUGGAUAAUA
rnacentral:ncRNA from 1 species